rnacentral:rRNA from 1 species
AACGAACGCUGGCGGCAGGCCUAACACAUGCAAGUCGAGCGGACCUUUCGGGGUCAGCGGCGGACGGGUGAGUAACGCGUGGGAAUAUGCCCUUCUCUACGGAAUAGUCCUGGGAAACUGGGGGUAAUACCGGAUACGCCCUUUGGGGGAAAGAUUUAUCGGGGAAGGAUUAGCCCGCGUUGGAUUAGGUAGUUGGUGGGGUAAUGGCCUACCAAGCCGACGAUCCAUAGCUGGUUUGAGAGGAUGAUCAGCCACACUGGGACUGAGACACGGCCCAGACUCCUACGGGAGGCAGCAGUGGGGAAUCUUAGACAAUGGGCGCAAGCCUGAUCUAGCCAUGCCGCGUGAGUGAUGAAGGCCUUAGGGUUGUAAAGCUCUUUCAGCUGGGAAGAUAAUGACGGUACCAGCAGAAGAAGCCCCGGCUAACUCCGUG